rnacentral:rRNA from 1 species
CCUACGGGGGGCAGCCGUGAGGAAUAUUGGUCAAUGGACGAGAGUCUGAACCAGCCAAGUAGCGUGAAGGAUGACUGCCCUAUGGGUUGUAAACUUCUUUUAUAUGGGAAUAAAGUGUUCCACGUGUGGCUUUUUGUAUGUACCAUAUGAAUAAGGAUCGGCUAACUCCGUGCCAGCAGCCGCGGUAAUACGGAGGAUCCGAGCGUUAUCCGGAUUUAUUGGGUUUAAAGGGAGCGUAGAUGGAUUGUUAAGUCAGUUGUGAAAGUUUGCGGCUCAACCGUAAAAUUGCAUUUGAGACUGGCAGUCUUGAGUACAGUUGAGGUAGGCGGAAUUCGUGGUGUAGCGGGGAAAUGCUUAGAUAUCACGAAGAACUCCGAUUGCGAAGGCAGCUUACUAGACUGCAACUGACACUGAGGCUCGAAAGUGUGGGUAUCAAACAGGAUUAGAUACCCGGGUAGUC